rnacentral:rRNA from 1 species
GGGAUCGCCCUUAGAGUUUGAUCCUGGCUCAGGAUGCACGCUGGCGGGGUGCCUAAUCCAUGCAAGUCGACCGAAUGGAUUAAGAGCGUGCUCUUAUGAAGUUAGCGGCGGACGGGUGACUAACACGUGGGUAACCUGCCCAUAACACUGGGAUAACUCCGGGAAACCCGGGCUAAUACCGGAUAAUAUUUUGAACUGCAUGGUUCAAAAUUGAAAGGCGGCUUCGGCUGUCACUUAUGGAUGGACCCGCGUCGCAUUAGCUAGUUGGUGAGGUAACGGCUCACCAAGGCAACGAUGCGUAGCCGACCUGAGAGGGAGAUCGGCCACACUGGGACUGAGACACGGCCCAGACUCCUACGGGAGGCAGCAGUAGGGAAUCUUCCGCAAUGGACGAAAGUCUGACGGAGCAACGCCGCGUGAGUGAUGAAGGCGUUCGGGUCGUAAAACUCUGUUGUUAGGGAAGAACGAGUGCUAGUUGAAUAAGCUGGCACCUUGACGGUACCUAACCAGAAAGCCACGGCUAACUACGUGCCAGCAGCCGCGGUAAUACGUACGUGGCAAGCGUUAUCCGGAAUUAUUGGGCGUAAAGCGCGCGCAGGUGGUUUCUUAAGUCUGAUGUGAAAGCCGACGGCUCAACCGUGGAGGGUCAUUGGAAACUGGGAGACUUGAGUGCAGAAGAGGAAAGUGGAAUUCCAUGUGUAGCGGUGAAAUGCGUAGAGAUAUGGAGGAACACCAGUGGCGAACGCGACUUUCUGGUCUGUAACUGACACUGAGGCGCGAAAGCGUGGGGAGCAAACAGGAUUAGAUACCCUGGUAGUGCACGCCGUAAACGAUGAGUGCUAAGUGUUAGAGGGUUUCCGCCCUUUAGUGCUGAAGUUAACGCAUUAAGCACUCCGCCUGGGGAGUACGGCCGCAAGGCUGAAACUCAAAGGAAUUGACGGGGGCCCGCACGAGCGGUGGAGCAUGUGGUUUAACUCGAAGCAACGCGAAGAACCUUACCAGGUCUUGACAUCCUCUGAAAACCCUAGAGAUAGGGCUUCUCCUUCGGGAGCAGAGUGACAGGUGGUGCAUGGUUGUCGUCAGCUCGUGUCGUGAGAUGUUGGGUUAAGUCCCGCAACGAGCGCAACCCUUGAUCUUAGUUGCCAUCAUUAAGUUGGGCACUCUAAGGUGACUGCCGGUGACAAACCGGAGGAAGGUGGGGAUGACGUCAAAUCAUCAUGCCCCUUAUGACCUGGGCUACACACGUGCUACAAUGGACGGUACAAAGAGCUGCAAGACCGCGAGGUGGAGCUAAUCUCAUAAAACCGUUCUCAGUUCGGAUUGUAGGCUGCAACUCGCCUACAUGAAGCUGGAAUCGCUAGUAAUCGCGGAUGAGCAUGCCGCGGUGAAUACGUUCCCGGGCCUUCUACACACCGCCCGUCACACGACGAGAGUUUGUAACACCCGAAGUCGCUGGGGUAACCUUUUUGGAGCCAGGCGCCUAAGGUGGGACACAUGAUUGGGGUGAAGUCGUAACAAGGUAGCCGUAAAGGGCGAUCC